rnacentral:rRNA from 1 species
GACGAACGCUGGCGGCGUGCUUAACACAUGCAAGUCGAACGGAAAGGCCCUGCUUUUGUGGGUUGCUCGAGUGGCGAACGGGUGAGUAACACGUGAGUAACCUGCCCUUGACUUUGGGAUAACUUCAGGAAACUGGGGCUAAUACCGGAUAGGAGCUCCUGCUGCAUGGUGGGGGUUGGAAAGUUUCGGCGGUUGGGGAUGGGCUCGCGGCGUAUCAGCUUGUUGGCGGGGUAGUGGCUUACCAAGGCUUUGACGGGUAGCCGGCCUGAGAGGGUGACCGGCAACGAGGGGAGUGAGACGCGGGCCAAACUCGUACGGGAGGCAGCAGUGAGGAAGAGUGGUCAAUGGGCGGGAGACGGAACCAGCCAAGUAGCGUGCAGGAGGACGGCCUGAUGGGUUGUAAACUGCUGUUAUGCGGGGAUAAAGGGAGGGACGUGUCCUUCAUGGCAGGUACCGCAUGAAUAAGGACCGGCGAGUUCCUUG